AAAAAAAAAAGUCGAAAAUGUAACUUGAAUCAAUACGUUUGCUACUGCUUCAGCUAACACGGGAGUGAUUAGGAAGACAAAAGUUACGUUUGCUACUUCACAAACACACUAAAGAGGUGCAGUCUUUUACAUCACAAUACACUUGUCUUUUGAUGACUUGGGAUCUGGCUUGGGGGACGAAGACAUAAUUCUCGAGCUGUUGCUUGGUACCUGAGGACCAGUAAUCAACCUUGGCCGAUCAUUAAAAGCUGGUUGCUGGGGGUUCUGAUUUCUCGGUGGUGCCUGUUGAUGUUGUUGAUCAAAUUCCUGUUGCUGAAGAGCUAUUGCCAAUUGUAGAUCAGAAUUGAAAGUUGGAUGUCCUUGCUCUGUGUCCACGCUUGCCAGAAAGUUUGCAGUACUGUCCAUAGCACUCUGUUGAUCCCAUGUGGUGUUGGCAUUAUCUUCGACCUUGAAUUCCUUGAAAUUGCUAGUCACAUAUAUCGUGUUUCCAUUCACCUCGUUGAAUUUCUCCCAAACCAAAUCAGGCUGAUUAAUAAAUCCUUGGUCAGUGGCCAAAAUGUAUAAUUCGCCUUCAAACUUAAACAUAGUAUUGAAAUGAUUAUUCCUGAAGAAAACACAAAGUUCUCUCUCUUUCAAACCCUCUUGCAAGGAAAACAAUCCAAAGAUUGUUAACUGACUUGCACUGUUCUUCAGAAAGUUCCUCACCAGUUCGCCUUCUUUCUGUGUGAUUUCAUCCUUCGCGAUUAUCGCAGGCACAUCUCUACUGCCUCCAUUCACUUGUUCAGCAAGAACCACCUCGCCUUCAUACAUAGGCUCUCGACUUUGGUAACUUGUGGUUGCUGACUCCAAUAUGCAAUCCUCUCCUUCAUACAUGGGUUCAUCGCCAUCUAUGGAAGAAUUAAAGGUUUCAGCUUCAUCUGUGUCAUGUCCUCUACCAUCAGAUGAAUCUGUGGCUGCAGAUGGUAUCGACAAACUUGAUGAAUCAAAC
rnacentral:misc_RNA from 1 species